rnacentral:lncRNA from 1 species
UUUGACUGGGGAUCAUAAACCAUCCUUUAUUGUUGACGAUAAGAUAAUAAUUGAUGAAAAUAUCUACAGCUGAAGUGGUAGAAAGAACAAUCUCAAUUUCUUAAUUUUAGGAAAUAUUGAAAUAGCAUAUUACAAUUACAUAUUAAAUUUGCAAUGUUGUUUUUCAUGAAGAAUAAUGUAAAUGCUCAAUUUCAAUACCUCAUGGGUUCUUUUUCAUAAUCAUAUCCAAAGAGCUUAUUCAACAGACUUUAUAAGUAGAUGAAAUUACAGUUUUUAAAUGAGAUGAAUUGCAUUAUUCAUCUUUAGAAAGAAAAGAUUUGCAUCUUCAUAUUAACCCUUUAAAUCAUUAUUGCAUUGUCUUUCACACUGAAAUCACAUAUUGAUGUGUUAGCAUAUGCCAAAAUUCAACUGUGGAAGGCUCAUAAAAAUGAAACACUUC